GAAUGUAUGACUAAUGUCAAUAAUACACGGAACAAAAAUACCGUCGAACCGCUUCAAGCGGUCCGUUCCUCAAAUCUACCCCCCGUACGUCACGUGUGUGAAAGACAGACUUUCACUUAUAUCAACAAAUAUGUCGAAGGCAGCGACAGUGAAGGGACAGGUGGAGAAAACUGUUCACCCAUUCAGCAGAAAAGCGCUGUCAUCAAACAACACUUUUACAUUUAUUCACUAAAAUUUUACUUUUUAUGCUUUUAUGCCUGUAAAAGGAAUAUGUCUUCAAAUCACUUCUAGGUUAAAGGGUGAAAAGUCACAGCGUCUAAAUUUGAUUGGUACUUUCACCGGUUUGACAGAGAGAAAGAGCUCAGUAUGAAGGCAAUGGCAUUGAAAUCCCUGAUAUCAUCAACUCUAAGCAUCUGAAAAUAUUCCGGUAUUAACUGCUUAAAAGUAUGUUCUUGAACACUUUUUAUAGCAAAUAAAGAAUUUCUGUAA